rnacentral:rRNA from 1 species
AGUGAACGCUGGCGGUAGGCCUAACACAUGCAAGUCGAACGGCAGCACAGUAAGAGCUUGCUCUUACGGUUGGCGAGUGGCGGACGGGUGAGGAAUACAUCGGAAUCUACUUUUUCGUGGGUGAUAACGUAGGGAAACUUACGCUAAUACAGCAUACGACCUACGGGUGAAAGCAGGGGAGCUUCGGACCUUGCGCGACUGAAUGAGCCGAUGCCGGAUUAGCUAGUUGGCGGGGUAAAGGCCCACCAAGGCGACGAUCCGUAGCUGGUCUGAGAGGAUGAUCAGCCACACUGGAACUGAGACACGGUCCAGACUCCUACGGGAGGCAGCAGUGGGGAAUAUUGGACAAUGGGCGCAAGCCUGAUCCAGCCAUACCGCGUGAGUGAAGAAGGCCUUCGGGUUGUAAAGCCCUUUUGUUGGGAAAGAACAGCAGCAGGUUAAUCCCCCGCUGUUCUGACGGUACCCAAAGAAUAAGCACCGGCUAACCUCGUG